AAUUUUCAAAAUCGCGCACUCGAAAUUUCCUUAAAGAAAAAGUGAAAAAAAAAGAAAUAAAAAAAUACACGCUGAGAGAAAAUAUCCAAGGAGAGACUGAGAGAAAAUACGUAGUUAGGGUUCAUCAAUUUGGGCAAAGUCUAACAAUUUGGUCUCCAAUUCGCAAUUAGGCUCGAGCUUAUUUCGAAUUUUUUUCAACUGACUGCGAAAUUCUCUGCGAAAUUCUCUGCAAAGUUCGAACGCGAACUUCUCUGCGAAAUUCGAACGAGAAAUUAGUCUAUUCAUCGAGUGGAAGGGUUGAAUUGGGGCUUUCCACUAAUAAUUCGAACAAGUUAGAGGAGAAAUUCUACUUCAACCAUCUACUACUAUUCACGAUUGCAGCCAUUGUGACCCAACCGCCUUCUCAGAGGAAUAGGGGUAGAAAGGUCUUGCCUUCUGCUGUUGCACAACAUACCCUUGAUAGGGGCUUCUCUUAUGAUCUCAUUCUUGCGCCCGAGCGUGCCAGUGAGACAAUGCAGUAACAAUUAAUUCCAGAUGAAAAGGGAACAAAACAAAGGAAUAAAUGAAAACAUUACAAGAUUUGUACUGCUGUAAGAUCUGCUAAUGAAGCCGCAAUAUGUCCAGUAAGCCCCUUCGAACUAAGAUUUCUGAUCACAAAAAAUUCAAACAGAACAUAUUAACUUGAGAAUUGUUUAAGAGAUACUAAAAAUAGGAUGUAGAAGCUUACAGUGAUAUUAUUCUGGUUGAGUUGGAACUGUCAUAGUUGCAGUCCACGCCAGUCCCUCUCGCUAGGGGAUAUGUUGCUACAAGCAAAGUCGAACUCUUUGACUUUCUCUAUGAUCUUCACUGUCUAUGAUCCCUCUCGCUGAGUUUUUCCGUUUUCCCCUUGUAUUGCAUUCUCCGUUUUCCCUUUUCUGGUAAGCAUAAUUCAGGGUUGUUCUGUUUUCUCCCAUCUGCUACUGUUUGAUAUUUGUUCUGCGUUCCCCCUUUUCUGGUAAGAAUAAUUACAGGUUUUUUAAUAUAUUCAUAGUUGAUUAUUGGAAGAUAUUUUGUAAAUUUGUAAUAUUUGAUUUAGUUAACCUUUCUUUACUAAUGGAUUUAUAUGAUUUAGAUUGCAGCCAUUGUGACCCAACCGCCUUCUCUGAGGAAUAGGGGUAGAAAGGUCUUGCCUUCUGCUGUUGCACAACAUACCCUUGAUAGGGGCUUCUCUUAUGAUCUCAUUCUUGCGCCCGAGCGUGCCAGUGAGACAAUGCAGUAACAAUUAAUUCCAGAUGAAAAGGGAACAAAACAAAGGAAUGAAUGAAAACAUUACAAGAUUUGUACUGCUGUAAGAUCUGCAAAUGAAGCCGCAAUAUGUCCAGUAAGCCCCUUCGAACUAAGAUUUCCGAUCACAAAAAAUUCAAACAGAACAUAUUAACUUGAGAAUUGUUUAAGAGAUACUAAAAAUAGGAUGUAGAAGCUUACAGUGAUAUUAUUCUGGUUGAGUUGGAACUGUCAUAGUUGCAGUCCACGCCAGUCCCUCUCGCUAGGGGAUAUGUUGCUACAAGCAAAGUCGAACUCUUUGACUUUCUCUAUGAUCUUCACUGUCUAUGAUCCCUCUCGCUGAGUUUCCUUCUCCUGGGUAUCCACAAUUGAGGUUCUGUCUGUGUGAGUGUGUUCAUACAUACAGUACUUUAACAUUAAGUUUUUUUGCAAAUUUUAUGGUGCAGCAAAGUUUAAUCUGUAAAUGUUAUCUGGGGCAUGGGCUGAUUCCUUAAGAAUUGUUGAAACAUAAGCAAUGCAAGUCGAGGGCAAGUCAACUGAACCUCAUGCCCUGCACCCCUGAUACAGAUACAGAUUCCUCAAGAAUUGUUGAAACAUAAGAAUUCUUCUUCUGGUACUAAUCCUUGCUACUCGUAUCUUCAGAUACAGAUGCAACAGCAUUCAGGGCAGUCUUAGCAGUGGCUAUUGCUUUCGCAGCAAUAGCGGCUUUUUCCUCAGCAGCAGCUCGUGCAGCUUUAGCUGCCUUAGCUAAUAUGUACAACAUACAGUCUAGCAGCAGCUCUUAAUCCAAACCCAGUGCACUGUUGCAACUUCUCACAACCAGUACUACUGGAAGAAGGUUGGCAGGAGAUCUGAACAUAACAAUCCAGAAGAAAUAAUAGAACAAGUUGAUAGCAGGACAAUAGCUGUGUCACCUCUCCCAUAUGAUGUGAAGCUUGAAGAUGUAGAAUCUUUCUUUUCUCCGUUUGCGAAGGAGCAUGGUGAGCUAAAUGGAGAAGAAAUGUAAAUCUAGCAAAUAAGACGAUAGAGGCUCUUGUUUGUUUUUGAGUCAUUUUGUGAUUUCUAUUAAUGUUGAAUUUUUUUAUAUAGAUGUUAAUUUUAUGUUUUUGGUCUUUAAAAACACUAAGUUAGUUAGUGAACAACUAUUUUGUAAUGCAUGUGUCCUACGGGCACUAAUAUUGUAAUAUUACUCUUUAAGUCAAUGAAAAUCUUUUGUUAUUGA